CUUUUUGUGCGCGCUGGGGGGGAUUUCUUCCACAAUGGGCCGAAAAUUGUGGAUGGCGGCCACCCCCGCCAGAGUGAUAAAGUUUUUUCGGAUGGAGAAAACUCUGUUUUUUAAGAAGAACAAGUGUUUGAGUAACUGUUAACAUUUUUACGGUAUUUAACCAGAAAGCCCCGGCUAACUCCCUUCCAGCAGCGGCCGUAAUAAAUAGGGGCAAUCGUUGCCCGGAUGUAUUGGGCGUCAGGGAGCGCAGUCGGUUUUGUAAGUUUGCUGUGAAAGCCCUCAGCUCUACUGAGGAAGUGCAGUGGAAACUACAAAGUUUGAGUCCAGAAGAUGAAAGUGGAACUCCAUGUGUAGCGGUGAAAUGCGUAGAUAUAUGGCAGAACACCAGUGGCCAAGGCGCCUUUGUGGUAUGUAACUGACGCUGAGGUUUGAAAGCAUGGGAAGGGAUCAGGAUUACAUACCCUGGUAGUCCAUUCCGUAAACGAUGAAUACUUGGUGUUGGAGGGUUUCCGCCCUUCAGUGCCGCAGCUAAAGCAUUAAGUAUUCCGCUUGGGGAGUACGACCGCAAGGUUGAAUUCAAAGGAAUUGACGGGGGCCCGCACAAAUGGAGAGCAUGUGGUUAAUUCGAUCUACCCGAAGAACCUUACCACUCUUGACCUACUUAUGGCAUCCCAAGAGAUGGGCGUUUCUUUUCGGGGGAACAGUAUUGAACCCUUGGGCCG
rnacentral:rRNA from 2 species